AAAGUGCGAUAAGCAAUGCGAAUUGCAGAAUUCCGCGAAUCAUCAGAUCCUUGAACGCAACUGGCGCUAGGGGGCUCUCCCUCUAGCAUGUCUGUUUCAGUGUCUGAAAACAUCAUAUCUUAUCUUAAUGUGAUUGACAAAGAGAAGAAACUUCUUCUCCUAGUCUCUCAUGAAAGAUGACAUGUGUGGGUCUUUGGCCCCCUCAUCGAAUUUGGUCACUGGUCUCUUCAGUGAUUUCGAUAGGUGGGAAAAAUAAUCCAAUUACCCUUUCUUCUUUGAAAGAAACACAUGUGCCUUAUAAAAUCAUAUUUAGUUAUGAUUUUCAUCAUCAAACUCUGCAUCUGAAAUCAGGCAAGAACACCCGCUGAACUUAA
rnacentral:misc_RNA from 1 species